rnacentral:lncRNA from 13 species
UUAUGAAAAUGUAUACACUCACUACUGUAAGUCGCUCUGGAUAAGAGCAUCUGCUAAAUGACUAAAAUGUAAAAGUAAAAUGUAGCUAAACCUGUUUUAUGUAGAAAAUGCAUGAAAGUAUUACAGAUAUACACUCACAUGAGCCGUACAUUUAACCUAUCACAACUUAUUCUCACGCUAUCACAAUGGUCAUUUCUUUACUAAUUAGGUAAGGUUAAGUGACCUCUUCUCUUGGAAUAGAAAUCCACAGGUGCAGUACACGCUCCAACAUCCCAUUUCCACAGUGGUGCCACCAUGGGGAUGAUGGGAGGUGGUUGUGGAUGAUUGUUUUCCUUCUUCACAGGGAAACUGGCUGUGAGGAGGAUCUCCUCCCUCUCUGCAGGGACACCAGCCUUUGGGACGAUCCACUCCCUGUAAGCAGAGACACUGGCCUUUGGGAAGAUUCCCUUUCUCUGCGCAGUGACACUGGUCAUCAGGAGGAUCAACUCCCUUUGUGCAGGGGGACACUGGCUGUUUGGAGGAUCCCCUUCCUCUGUGCAGGGAUGAGGCCUGAUGCUCGGAGGAUCUCCUCCCUCUCAGCAGGGACACUAGCCCUUGGGACAAUCCCCUCCCUGUGCACAGGGACGCUGGCCAUUGGGACGAUUUCCUCCCUCUGCGCAGUGACACUGGCUGUUUGGAGGAUCCCCUCCCUCUGUGACGAGAUGAGGCCUGAUGAUCGUAGGAUCUCCUCCCUCUGUGCAUUGAUGCUGGCGGCUGAGAGAUUCCCCUUCCUCUGUGAAGGGACACUAGCUGUUUGGAGGAUCCCCUCCCUCCGUGCAGGGAUGACGCCUGAUGAUCGGAGGUUCUCCUCCCUCUGUGCAUUGACGCUGGCGGCUGAGAGAAUCCCCUCCCUCUGUGAAGGGACACUGGCUUUUUGGAGGAUACCCUUCCUCUGUGAUGGGAUGAGGCCUGAUGCUUGGACGAUCUCCUUUCUCUGCACAGCAACUUCGGCUGCUGUGAUGAUCUGAAGGUAUAAUAUAGAGCAUAUUGUCAUUCCUUAAAAAAUCAACUCAAUAGGAAUAAUGUUUUGUUCACUCAGUGUAGAUCAAUCCCUAGCAUAUACUUUCAUUUGUAUGUGUACUGAUACUGCAAAUACACAAAUUAUAUUAAUGUUAUCUACAAUAUAUUAUAAUACCAUAAGCCUCCCUGCUGCAGGGGCAUUUCCUACUACAAUUUUAAACUGAUUUUCUUCACUUUUAUUUUGCAUCUUUGUUAAUUUUCACAUUUAUUGUGUUUGGAAUGGCACUGUUACUACAGCAUUUGAUGUAAGUAUGUAGGACAAUUACCCAUAAUGCUCACUGACUGAACAUUCAAAAUGACCAUGGCAAUUAUUGACGCAUUCACAUGCCAUCGGAAAAUUGGAACCUCAGAGUUAAAAUGAAUGUAAGUUAUUAGCGUAGAGCUUCCUUCUGGUUGAUUCUGAUACUUCAGUGGGAAACUUGAAAUCAUCAUUCCAUAAUGAGUUAGCGAGUCAGAAAUGUCAGAAUUUCCGAGUUCCGACUUGAAGGGCCUUCUAUGAUGUUAGACAGGUCAGUAACCAAAUUAUUUUACUGUGCCCAGUGCCCACACAGACUUUUAUGGUCACACAAGUUGCCACCGGUAUAUUCAAAAUGAGUAGCCUAACAAUUAUUUAUGUGGCCCCAGUUACAUUUACAACCAAGAUAACCAUAGAUGGGAAGUUGACAAUAGGUUAUUAUUAGGGUAAAUAAAUUGUAUUUCUAUGGUUGCAGUCCUCAAAGAUUGAAUUGCAUUGAAUUGAAUUAAUCAGAUCCAAUGAUUUACCGCCCGUAGGGUGGGGUAAAGCUAGUCAUCAUUAUUAUAAUCACCAUCUCAAUCGUUAUCACCAUACCAUCAUAGACUUAUUCUUC